rnacentral:rRNA from 1 species
UGGGUAGUCCGUACGAGCGCACCCUAUCCUUAGUUGCCAGCGAGUAUGUCGGGAACUCUAGGGAGACUGCCGGUGACAAACCGGAGGAAGGUGGGGACGACGUCAAGUCAUCAUGGCCCUUAUGGGCAGGGCUACACACGUGCUACAAUGGCCGGCACAGAGGGCUGCGAAGUCGCAAGGCGGAGCGAAUCUCAGAAAACCGGUCGUAGUCCGGAUUGCAGUCUGCAACUCGACUGCAUGAAGCCGGAAUCGCUAGUAAUCGCGGAUCGGAACGCCGCGGUGAAUACGUUCCCGGGCCUUGUACACACCGCCCGUCACACCAUGGGAGUGGGCUGUACCAGAAGUAGGUAGUCUAACCUUCGGGAGGACGCUUACCACGGUGUGGUUCAUGACUGGGGUGAAGUCGUAACAAGGUAGCCCUAGGGGAACCUGGGGCUGGAUCACCUCCUU